CGGCGUCGAGCGGCGGACGGGUGAGUAAUGCCUAGGAAAUUGCCCUGAUGUGGGGGAUAACCAUUGGAAACGAUGGCUAAUACCGCAUGAUGCCUACGGGCCAAAGAGGGGGACCUUCGGGCCUCUCGCGUCAGGAUAUGCCUAGGUGGGAUUAGCUAGUUGGUGAGGUAAGGGCUCACCAAGGCGACGAUCCCUAGCUGGUCUGAGAGGAUGAUCAGCCACACUGGAACUGAGACACGGUCCAGACUCCUACGGGAGGCAGCAGUGGGGAAUAUUGCACAAUGGGCGCAAGCCUGAUGCAGCCAUGCCGCGUGUGUGAAGAAGGCCUUCGGGUUGUAAAGCACUUUCAG
rnacentral:rRNA from 1 species